ensembl:lncRNA
CUCAUUCUAUAUGGUAAAUUUUACAUCCAUAGAUGCAAAUAAUCUCAAAGGAAACUCAAUAUCCACCAGUUCAAACAAGAAAUGAAACUGUCGACUGGCAAAUCUACAACACAAAACCUUUUUUCUAAUUCAAGUAAUGUGUGUAGCCCUCUAUUUCCUUUUCUAAAUAAUUUCUGUAUUAUUUGUAUGAUCAUGAAACGUGCUAGAAAAAAACAAUUGUUCAAAAAAAAAAACAACACCCAAAAAAACAGGCAGAGUGGGAACUCUCCCGAUGGGCCCACGCAACAGGCUAUAAAUGUUUAAGCCACGCCCCCUCGGCGCAUUUGAAACCGAACUAACAGCAGAGGCAGAGAAUUAGCAGCUCGCUCCUAAAUGCUCAUUAAUGUACCCAGAUGUUUUCUACAGGACUUUCUUCUCCACCAAUACUGAGGAGGAGGAGGUGAACCUGAGGUAAACUGAAGUUAACAAAAGGCUAAUCAACCAAUCAUGUGGCGCCGGUCACUGUCCUCUUGAUAAAAGAUACCAUCACCAGUUUUUUAAAGGAUUCAUCAAAGGACUUCACCUUCAUCCUUUUGCACUUGGUGAGUUUACAGUUUAUUCGACAACACUUUCUCUGGAAAAACACUGAUCAUCUGAUCAAUAAUUCAUCAUUGUCUAUUUUCUCUCCUGCUCACACACACAGGACGCCGUCGCUUGUUUUAGGAUUCAUCGCGCUGAAUUCAUCACAGCGCAGUAUUGGAUUUCACAACGCCACGUUGUCAAGACGUCGCCCUGCCUGGUCGCGGAUCAUUGACGUUCUGCAGACAGACGUUCGCUGGAGCCGCGUCCCGCUGAGGCCGGUCAGACGACGGGUUGUCCUUUUUCAAGUUUCAUCAUCACAAGUAUUGCAACAAGCAUCGUCUGCAUCCACUUGUGAAAAGUGUAACCGCACGUGACCCCCAGUGUGUCGUGGUCACGUUAGUCUCUUCUUAUAAUGUUUGGUUUUAUCAGAGGUUGCCAGAUGCUUUAAGGUGCAUCGCCGCCACCCACUGAUCCCACGUCAGUCUCUCUCUCUCUCUCUUUUCUCUGUUACUCUGUCGCCCACACAGCUGUCAGUAUGAUACUGUUUGAUAGAACUGUUACUUUGACGUGUUGAUGUAAUUCGGUCAGUUACCGAGUUGGGAGAAGUGUUUUGAAACCAGAGGCCCUGAACCACACCACAGUGAUCUGAACCACCUGGUCCUACCUUACUCAUUGACUUUGUAUGUAAACACAUGCUUAUUGUCUUCACCCAUCUUUGACAUUGACAUAGAUUUUAGAAAUUAUACUGUAAAUCCAUCUCAGGUCAGUUUGUGUUGCCUCUCAAACCCAUGUUCAUCAUCUACACCCAGACGCACUGUACUGUGUGUGAAAAAAAUGUAUGCAUUAUAACAGUAUAAAGUACUUGUUUUUCUGAAUAAAUGUCCUCAUGAAUACAGAAGACGCAGUCACAUUAACUGAAGUGUUCUGGGGGGAAAGGCAUGAAUCCGUCCACUUUCCUGCUGGAGGACCGAAUUACUUGACUUCACUGAGCGAUGACUCCGAUCUGAGCUUCAUCUCCCACCAGUUGACCUUCAGACUCUGCCUUCAGUCUGCUUUUCAAAGAGUUCCAUGUUCCCAGGGGCCUCGCCUUGCGUCAAUAUAUUGACUCACAUGAGCCUCGGGAAGUCCAGUUUGGUGCUCAAACGGAGCAGGCGCUCAGAUGAUGUGCAAGGAGUCAAUAAACUAUGACCAAGGCUGGUUCUGAAGAGCAGGAUGGGUUAGCAUGAGAGGAAAAACAAAAAGGUGGCGCUUACACCAGCCUCAGUGAAAUAAAGUUCUAUGUCCAUGAUUCCUCUGUAAAUAUCUGUGAAUGUCAGAGUUUUAACCUGAAAGAGAGAAAAACACGAGCUCCACAUGACUCCGUUUGUACAAAGGUCCAGUCCACAGCACAUGUCAUUAUGUGGGUCAUGCUCUAUUAAGCUCAAGUGCAAUGAAGCUUUGAUAUGUUUUCUCUUUCACAUCUCCGCAGGACUGUGAUUGCUCCAUUGUAUUUCAUGCUUUCCAAAGUAUAUCCAUUUCCUACUGAGCCAUCUACCCCCAAAGAGAUACUUCAGCCAGUGAAAUGGUUCCCAACUGUUCUUUAAAGAACCAUUAGCACUUUAUGGAGCUAAUGGUUAUUAUUCUAUCAGCAGUCAUAAGAGUUUUAUUGCGGAAGAAAUCCAAUUUUAACCUUUGGAUUUAUUUGCCAAGGUCCAAUAAG